GACGAACGCUGGCGGCGGGCUUAACACAUGCAAGUCGAACGGAAAGGCCCUGCUUUUGUGGGGUGCUCGAGUGGCGAACGGGUGCGUAACACGUGAGUAACCUGCCCUUGACUUUGGGAUAACUUCAGGAAACUGGGGCUAAUACCGGAUAGGAGCCCCUGCAGCAUGGAGGGGGUUGGAACGUUUCGGCGGUUGUGGAUGGACUCGCGGCUUAUCAGCUUGUUGGUGGGGUAGUGGCUUACCAAGGCUUUGGCGGGUAGGCGGCCUGAGAGGGUGGCCGGCCACAUUGGGCCUGCGAUACGGCCCAGAGUCCUACGGGAGGCAGCGGUGGGGAAUAUUGCACAAUGGGCGGAAGUCUGAUGCAGCAACGCCGCGUUCGUGAUGACGGCCUUCGGGUUGUGAACCGCUUUCGCCUGUGACGAAGCGGGAGUGACGGUAAUGGGUAAAGAAGCACCGGCUAACUACGUG
rnacentral:rRNA from 1 species